CCAAAGUGCAAAUUUGGAGACGCACCCCAAAGGGUGCCGGGGCUUCUCCCGGUU
rnacentral:tRNA from 1 species